CGACAGAAGGUUCGAUAUUCAUUCGAUCGAUGACUGAAAAGGCACAAUGGCAAAAUCGGACGGACUUCUUUUCAAAUACAGAUCUCCGAUGUCCCCCUACAGUCUGCAGUCGCGCGGCUGGUGGUGUGGCACAGACGGAGCAAGGGUUACAUCAAGGCUGUUCUCUGGACCGUGCAAACAGUCUAGACCAAUGACCUGCAGCAUCAUGCCCUUUGAAGAAGAGGCAAGUUCGGUCACGACGAAGAAAAAUCAAGGCGUACCCCUUUUAACAAUAGGGAGCAGCUCGUGGCUGCAAAGAGGUGUCCACCUGCCAUUCAGUUUUGCAGUGGGAUCAUUUGUAUCACUUCACAAAUUGCUGAGCAAGAGAAUCCAACUUUGGGAGCAUGCUCAUUGUGAUACCCUCAGUGAUUUCUGUUUCAUGCAUUCUCCUCAGGGCUGUGAUUUUAACAGACCAGGAAUACAAAUGGAUGUGGUGUUCAAGUCAAGAGGAUGCAACAGUUAUGAAUAAAACAAGUCAACAGCAAAGGAAAACUAAGGAAAAUGUGGGUCAGCUGCUGAAUGAGGUGGUGCCUGGUAACAGCAGACACUGAGAAGGUAGUUACUGAAUGUCUUCUUUGCUUUAGUCUUUACUGUUAAGACUUCCCCUUGGGAAUCCCAGUCCCUGGAGAUUAGAGAGAGAGUCUGGGGAAAGGAAGACUUGCCCUUGGUCGAGGAGGAUCUGGUCAGAAAUUGUCCAGGCAAACAUGACACACACAAAUCCAUGGGUCCCAAUGGGAAACAUCCACAAGUGCUGAGGGAGUUGCCAGAAGUGAUAGCCAAGCUGCUCUCUAUUGUCUUUGAAGGGUCAUGGAAAAUAGAAGAGAUGCAUGGGGAUUGGAGGAGAGCCAGUGUCACUCCAGUCUUCAAAAAAAGCAAGGAGGAGCUGGGAAACUACAGGCCGGUAAGCGUCAUCUCCAUUCCUUGAAAGGUGAUGUAGCAGCUUAUUCUGGAUUCCAUCUCCAAGCAAGUGGAAGAAAAGAAAGUUAUCAAGAGUAGUUAACGUGUAUUCACCAAGAGGAAAUCAUGCCUGACCAAUCUGACAGCCUUAUACCAAGCUGGGUAGAUCAUAGAAUCAUAGAAACAUAGAAUGGCCUGGGUUGAAAAGGACCUUAAAGAUCAUCAAGUUUCAACCCCCCUGCUGUGGGCAGGGUCGCCAACCACUAGAGCAGGCUGCCCAGAGCCACAUCCAGCCUUGCCUUGAAUGUCUCCAGAGACAGGGCAUCCACAACCUCUCUGAGCAACCUGUUCCAAUGCAUCAACACCCUCUGAGUGAAAGAUGGAGAAGUGGAAGUAAUGUACCUUCACUUCAGCAAGGUUAGGUAAGCUUAGGGAAGUGUGAGAUAGAUGAGUGGACAGUGAGAUAGGCUGAGAACUGGCUGACUGGCAAAACUGUGAGAGUUGUGACUAGCAGCACAGAGUCCAUUUGGAGGCCUGUAACAAGCAGUGUUCCCCAGAGAUUGGUACUAGGU
rnacentral:lncRNA from 1 species